GUAGACGGCCAGGCUUGGAGAUCUCUGGUUCGAUAAGUUUUGUGAACUUGUAAGGAUCGAGUAUAAGUUUAGUUGAGUAAGCGUGGGUGAUGAGUUUAAUUUAUCUUUACUGUAUUCCAUUACAUGUGCUCUACCUCGAAUAUAUUAUUAUACAUAUAUAGAAUAAUUGUGCCGUCGUAAGAUAACUGAAUAAUGAUGUAGUCAUCAACCAUCAUUUUCAAACUGCUAUCAGCUCACCAAUACACUCAAUAUUUUUUUUGUAUACUAUACGGUUGAAAUACUAGAGAGUGAAAAGUGCUGAACGUAAGCAUUAACCGCAUCACAGAUUAUGAAUUGGUGAGAACAAAGUGAAUACACCCAUGAAAGAAAAAUUCUAAUUGUCUUAAUUUACAUGAUGCCUGUAGGCUUGUCUACAGUUUCCCUUUCUCAGCCAACCUAAUUUUUACGUCGCCUUUGUUCUUUUGGCUCGAACAAUGAAUAACAAUAUCAAAACAUACUUAAUCAAUUUAGCACUCCAAAAAUGAUUGUAUAAACCAAAAAUCACCAGGCGUGUGAUUUCCUUCAAAGUAACGCUGUUAUACCGUAACUUGUCAAAAUGUUCAAAAAGCUAGACUGUGCAUCCAACCAUGGAUAAGUAUUCAGCGUCAUCAGAUUAACAACUACAUUGUAUAAUUUACCAAUUAUACCAUCAAUUAUUGUCAAAAGAAUCAAUUAAUAGGAAGAACCGCAUCAAACAAUUUAUAAAAUACUAAUUAUAAAUUCACUUUUAAAUAA